rnacentral:rRNA from 1 species
GAUGAACGCUGGCGGCGUGCCUAAUACAUGCAAGUCGAGCGAACAGACGAGGAGCUUGCUCCUCUGACGUUAGCAGCGGACGGGUGAGUAACACGUGGAUAACCUACCUAUAAGACUGGGAUAACUUCGGGAAGCCGGAGCUAAUACCGGAUAAUAUAUUGAACCGCAUGGUUCAAUAGUGAAAGACGGUUUUGCUGUCACUUAUAGAUGGAUCCGCGCCGCAUUAGCUAGUUGGUAAGGUAACGGCUUACCAAGGCAACGAUGCGUAGCCGACCUGAGAGGGUGAUCGGCCACACUGGAACUGAGACACGGUCCAGACUCCUACGGGAGGCAGCAGUAGGGAAUCUUCCGCAAUGGGCGAAAGCUUGACGGAGCAACGCCGCGUGAGUGAUGAAGGUCUUCGGAUCGUAAAACUCUGUUAUUAGGGAAGAACAAAUGUGUAAGUAACUAUGCACGUCUUGACGGUACCUAAUCAGAAAGCCACGGCUAACUACGUG